ACUGCUCUUGGGGGCACUGCAGAUGUGACUGCUGUGUCACAUUUGUGUCAUUAGGUGGCAGAGAGAAGAGAGGCUUGUCUAUGCUCAGCAUUCUGGCCCGUGAACGUCUGGACAAUUGAUAGUCUAAAAAU
ensembl:snoRNA